UAUACUUGGAUUGGUCUGUAAAGAGAUACCUGGAGGUGGACAGAUCACACCAUCUUCUCUACCACCAGCUGGUUGGCUACACAACCUGAUCAAUACCAGUGGAAACAAGGCUGUGGUUUUAUAAGUAACGGUCAGACUGUCGACACACAGUGCACAAACAUAAUCCCUUUCUUCUGUUACACAUUUAUCACAGGAAAACAACAAAUAGUAAGGAUGAAGAUACAGUCGAAUCCUUAAUGAUCCUUCAGUAAAGGUGGCCAUCUUGGAGCAGAUCAAACAGAAAAUGAGUGAACAUGGAAUGGCAGAGAACAUCACAGUGAAGUGGAGAAAGAAAUCAGAUGGUAAGGUGUUCAACCAUUAGAAAGAAGAGCUCUAGAUCUUGCAUCUGAAUCUCUAAUUGUAGUGCAC